ACCCUUAUAGCUUAACCAUAAAGCAUAACACUGAAAAUGUUAAAAUGAGCCCUAACAAGCUCUAAGAGUA
rnacentral:tRNA from 1 species